rnacentral:misc_RNA from 1 species
AGGUGAACCUGCGGAAGGAUCAUUAGUGAAUUGAAUAUGUUAGCGGACCUCUUCGGAGUCCCUAGCAUCAAAUCAUAUCCAUAACACCUGUGAACUGUAAGGCUGUCUUGAAAACGAAAGUGAUUAGAGCGCCUGCCCAUUUUAUACAAACAUUAAAGUAACAAACGUAGUCUUAUUAUAAUCUAAUAAAACUUUCAACAACGGAUCUCUUGGCUCUCG